UCAGUUAGCAAAAAUAUUCCCCCUUGUGGUUGAACAUUUUCUUCACUCGUUUCCUUUUCUAGCUCUUUCUAUUUUUCCACUCUUUCUUUUAUUUCUUCAAUUUCAUUGAAACAUUCAUCUUUCUCAUUUUCUUGUCUUUUUCUUUUGUUUUCCUCCCUUUCACUCUCGAACUCUUUUUCAAAAUUAUUUUCUUGCUCACAAUCUUUUUCUUUCUCUUUUCGUUCAAGCUCUCUUUUUCUUUCAAUUUCUUUCAUUUUUG
rnacentral:lncRNA from 1 species